GAAGAAAGAGGGAGGCGUGCUUAACACAUGCAAGUCGAACGGAAAGGCCUGUCUGUUGUGGGGUGCUCGAGUGGCGAUCGUGUGAGUAACACGUGUGUAACCUGCCCUGUACGUGGGGAUAUCUGUAGGAAACUGGGGCUAAUACCGGAUAGGAGCUGUGGUGGCAUGGUGGGGGUUGGAAAGUUUCGGCGGUUGGUUAUGGACUCUUUUGGUUGCAGCUUGUUGGUGGGGGUUGGGCUUACCAAGGCUUUGACGGGUAGCCGGCCUGAGAGGGUGACCGGCCACAUUGGGACUGAGAUACGACCCAGACUCCACAGGGAGGCAGCAGUGGGGAAUAUUGCACAAUGGGCGGAAGCCUGAUGCAGCACAGCCGCGUGCGGGAUGACGGCCUUCGGGUUGUAACAAAAAAUCGCCUGUGGCGAAGCGUGAGUGACGGUAAUGGGUAAAGAAGCACCGGCUAACUACGUG
rnacentral:rRNA from 1 species